rnacentral:rRNA from 1 species
GGCGAACGGGUGAGUAACACGUGGGCAAUCUGCCCUGCACUUCGGGAUAAGCCUGGGAAACUGGGUCUAAUACCGGAUAGGACCUUUAGGCGCAUGUCUUUAGGUGGAAAGCUUUUGCGGUGUGGGAUGGGCCCGCGGCCUAUCAGCUUGUUGGUGGGGUGAUGGCCUACCAAGGCGACGACGGGUAGCCGGCCUGAGAGGGUGUCCGGCCACACUGGGACUGAGAUACGGCCCAGACUCCUACGGGAGGCAGCAGUGGGGAAUAUUGCACAAUGGGCGCAAGCCUGAUGCAGCGACGCCGCGUGGGGGAUGACGGCCUUCGGGUUGUAAACCUCUUUCACCAUCGACGAAGGUCCGGGUUUUCUCGGAUUGACGGUAGGUGGAGAAGAAGCACCGGCCAACUACGUGCCAGCAGCCGCGGUAAUACGUAGGGUGCGAGCGUUGUCCGGAAUUACUGGGCGUAAAGAGCUCGUAGGUGGUUUGUCGCGUUGUUCGUGAAAUCUCACGGCUUAACUGUGAGCGUGCGGGCGAUACGGGCAGACUAGAGUACUGCAGGGGAGACUGGAAUUCCUGGUGUAGCGGUGGAAUGCGCAGAUAUCAGGAGGAACACCGGUGGCGAAGGCGGGUCUCUGGGCAGUAACUGACGCUGAGGAGCGAAAGCGUGGGGAGCGAACAGGAUUAGAUACCCUGGUAGUCCACGCCGUAAACGGUGGGUACUAGGUGUGGGUUUCCUUCCUUGGGAUCCGUGCCGUAGCUAACGCAUUAAGUACCCCGCCUGGGGAGUACGGCCGCAAGGCUAAAACUCAAAGGAAUUGACGGGGGCCCGCACAAGCGGCGGAGCAUGUGGAUUAAUUCGAUGCAACGCGAAGAACCUUACCUGGGUUUGACAUGCACAGGACGCGUCUAGAGAUAGGCGUUCCCUUGUGGCCUGUGUGCAGGUGGUGCAUGGCUGUCGUCAGCUCGUGUCGUGAGAUGUUGGGUUAAGUCCCGCAACGAGCGCAACCCUUGUCUCAUGUUGCCAGCGGGUAAUGCCGGGGACUCGUGAGAGACUGCCGGGGUCAACUCGGAGGAAGGUGGGGAUGACGUCAAGUCAUCAUGCCCCUUAUGUCCAGGGCUUCACACAUGCUACAAUGGCCGGUACAAAGGGCUGCGAUGCCGCAAGGUUAAGCGAAUCCUUUUAAAGCCGGUCUCAGUUCGGAUUGGGGUCUGCAACUCGACCCCAUGAAGUCGGAGUCGCUAGUAAUCGCAGAUCAGCAACGCUGCGGUGAAUACGUUCCCGGGCCUUGUACACACCGCCCGUCACGUCAUGAAAGUCGGUAACACCCGAAGCCAGUGGCCUAACC